rnacentral:rRNA from 1 species
UAUCUCUGUAGAGUCUGCAUAUCAAUAAGCGGAGGAAAAGAAACUAACUAGGAUUCCCUUAGUAACGGCGAGUGAAGCGGGAAGAGCUCAAAUUUGAAAUCUUCAAGGUUUUACCUUGACGAAUUGUAGUUUAAAGAAGUGUUUUCUGUUGGAUGUUUUGGUAAAAGUUCUUUGGAAUAGGACAUCAUAGAGGGUGAGAAUCCCGUAUUUGACCAUUACUUCCAGCUUUGUGAUACACUUUCAAAGAGUCGGAUUGUUUGGGAAUGCAGUCCAAAAUGGGUGGUAAGUUUCAUCUAAAGCUAAAUAUUGGCGAGAGACCGAUAGCGAACAAGUACCGUGAGGGAAAGAUGAAAAGAACUUUGAAAAGGAGAGUUAAACAGUACGUGAAAUUGUCAAAAGGGAAGCGUUUGACACCAGUGUUGUUUUCUCGAAAAUCAAUUAAAAAAGGCAGGAUUUUGUGUUGUAUUGACUUUAUCAGCUUUCUGCACUCUUUUCUUGUCUUUUUUAAUGCACUUUUCGUUUAACAAGUCAACAUCAAUUUCUUUUGUUGUAAAAGGGUCAUUGGAAGGUGGCUUUCUUUUCGGAGAAAGUGUUUAUAGCCUUUGGCCUCUGCAAUCGGAGAGAUUGAGGUCUGCAGCGUAGAUCCUUCGGGGUUAGAUACAUUUGUGCUAAGUUAUAGCCUUUCAUAGACAACUUGUUGACUAUGAUCAGUCAUGUAGCUUACACGCUUAUGCUAUUUUACCUACGCUUAGGAUGUUGACGAUCAGCUGAGCGCG